rnacentral:rRNA from 1 species
AUUGAACGCUGGCGGCAGGCUUAACACAUGCAAGUCGAGCGGGGGAAGGUAGCUUGCUACUGGACCUAGCGGCGGACGGGUGAGUAAUGCUUAGGAAUCUGCCUAUUGGUGGGGGACAACAUCUCGAAAGGGAUGCUAAUACCGCAUACGUCCUACGGGAGAAAGCAGGGGAUCUUCGGACCUUGCGCUAAUAGAUGAGCCUAAGUCGGAUUAGCUAGUUGGUGGGGUAGAGGCCUACCAAGGCGACGAUCUGUAGCGGGUCUGAGAGGAUGAUCCGACACACUGGGACUGAGAAACGGCCCAGAAUCCUACGGGAGGCAGCAGUGGGGAAUAUUGGACAAUGGGGGGAACCCUGAUCCAGCCAUGCCGCGUGUGUGAAGAAGGCCUUAUGGUUGUAAAGCACUUUAAGCGAGGAGGAGGCUACUCUAGUUAAUACCUAGGGAUAGUGGACGUUACUCGCAGAAUAAGCACCGGCUAACUCUGUGCCAGCCGCCGCCGUAA